AGGAUGAACGCUGGCGGCGUGCCUAACACAUGCAAGUCGAACGUCCUGUCUCGCAAGAGGCAGGGAGUGGCGGACGGGUGAGUACCACGUGGGUUAUCUACCGUGAGGUGAGGAAUACCGGCGAGAAAUCGCCGACAAGACCGCAUAGCCUCGGUGCAAGCCGAGGAAAGCUUUCUCGAGAGAGGGAGCGCCACACGAGGAGCCUGCGCCCGAUUAGCUAGCUGGUGGAGUAACGGUUCACCAGGGCGACGAUCGGUAGCUGGUCUGAGAGGACGAUCAGCCACACUGGGAUUGAGAACGGCCCAGACUCCUACGGGGGGCAGGCAGUGAGGAAUUUUCGUCAAUGGGGGCAACCCUGAACGAGCAACGCCGCGUGCAGGAAGAAGGUUUUCGGAUCGUAAACUGCUUUUCUCGGGGAAGAGAACGGACGGUACCCGAGGAAUCGAGCCCCGGCUAACUACGCGCCAGCAGCCGCGGUAA
rnacentral:rRNA from 1 species